GGGUUGUGAGGUUAAGCGACUAAGCGUACACGGUGGAUGCCCUGGCAGUCAGAGGCGAUGAAGGACGUGCUAAUCUGCGAUAAGCGUCGGUAAGGUGAUAUGAACCGUUAUAACCGGCGAUUUCCGAAUGGGGAAACCCAGUGUGAUUCGUCACACUAUCAUUAACUGAAUCCAUAGGUUAAUGAGGCGAACCGGGGGAACUGAAACAUCUAAGUACCCCGAGGAAAAGAAAUCAACCGAGAUUCCCCCAGUAGCGGCGAGCGAACGGGGAGCAGCCCAGAGCCUGAAUCAGUGUGUGUGUUAGUGGAAGCGUCUGGAAAGGCGCGCGAUACAGGGUGACAGCCCCGUACACAAAAAUGCACAUGCUGUGAGCUCGAUGAGUAGGGCGGGACACGUGGUAUCCUGUCUGAAUAUGGGGGGACCAUCCUCCAAGGCUAAAUACUCCUGACUGACCGAUAGUGAACCAGUACCGUGAGGGAAAGGCGAAAAGAACCCCGGCGAGGGGAGUGAAAAAGAACCUGAAACCGUGUACGUACAAGCAGUGGGAGCCUCUUUAUGGGGUGACUGCGUACCUUUUGUAUAAUGGGUCAGCGACUUAUAUUCUGUAGCAAGGUUAACCGAAUAGGGGAGCCGAAGGGAAACCGAGUCUUAACUGGGCGUUAAGUUGCAGGGUAUAGACCCGAAACCCGGUGAUCUAGCCAUGGGCAGGUUGAAGGUUGGGUAACACUAACUGGAGGACCGAACCGACUAAUGUUGAAAAAUUAGCGGAUGACUUGUGGCUGGGGGUGAAAGGCCAAUCAAACCGGGAGAUAGCUGGUUCUCCCCGAAAGCUAUUUAGGUAGCGCCUCGUGAAUUCAUCUCCGGGGGUAGAGCACUGUUUCGGCAAGGGGGUCAUCCCGACUUACCAACCCGAUGCAAACUGCGAAUACCGGAGAAUGUUAUCACGGGAGACACACGGCGGGUGCUAACGUCCGUCGUGAAGAGGGAAACAACCCAGACCGCCAGCUAAGGUCCCAAAGUCAUGGUUAAGUGGGAAACGAUGUGGGAAGGCCCAGACAGCCAGGAUGUUGGCUUAGAAGCAGCCAUCAUUUAAAGAAAGCGUAAUAGCUCACUGGUCGAGUCGGCCUGCGCGGAAGAUGUAACGGGGCUAAACCAUGCACCGAAGCUGCGGCAGCGACACUAUGUGUUGUUGGGUAGGGGAGCGUUCUGUAAGCCUGUGAAGGUGUGCUGUGAGGCAUGCUGGAGGUAUCAGAAGUGCGAAUGCUGACAUAAGUAACGAUAAAGCGGGUGAAAAGCCCGCUCGCCGGAAGACCAAGGGUUCCUGUCCAACGUUAAUCGGGGCAGGGUGAGUCGACCCCUAAGGCGAGGCCGAAAGGCGUAGUCGAUGGGAAACAGGUUAAUAUUCCUGUACUUGGUGUUACUGCGAAGGGGGGACGGAGAAGGCUAUGUUGGCCGGGCGACGGUUGUCCCGGUUUAAGCGUGUAGGCUGGUUUUCCAGGCAAAUCCGGAAAAUCAAGGCUGAGGCGUGAUGACGAGGCACUACGGUGCUGAAGCGACAAAUGCCCUGCUUCCAGGAAAAGCCUCUAAGCAUCAGGUAACAUCAAAUCGUACCCCAAACCGACACAGGUGGUCAGGUAGAGAAUACCAAGGCGCUUGAGAGAACUCGGGUGAAGGAACUAGGCAAAAUGGUGCCGUAACUUCGGGAGAAGGCACGCUGAUAUGUAGGUGAAGCGACUUGCUCGUGGAGCUGAAAUCAGUCGAAGAUACCAGCUGGCUGCAACUGUUUAUUAAAAACACAGCACUGUGCAAACACGAAAGUGGACGUAUACGGUGUGACGCCUGCCCGGUGCCGGAAGGUUAAUUGAUGGGGUCAGCGCAAGCGAAGCUCUUGAUCGAAGCCCCGGUAAACGGCGGCCGUAACUAUAACGGUCCUAAGGUAGCGAAAUUCCUUGUCGGGUAAGUUCCGACCUGCACGAAUGGCGUAAUGAUGGCCAGGCUGUCUCCACCCGAGACUCAGUGAAAUUGAACUCGCUGUGAAGAUGCAGUGUACCCGCGGCAAGACGGAAAGACCCCGUGAACCUUUACUAUAGCUUGACACUGAACAUUGAGCCUUGAUGUGUAGGAUAGGUGGGAGGCUUUGAAGUGUGGACGCCAGUCUGCAUGGAGCCGACCUUGAAAUACCACCCUUUAAUGUUUGAUGUUCUAACGUAGACCCGUGAUCCGGGUUGCGGACAGUGUCUGGUGGGUAGUUUGACUGGGGCGGUCUCCUCCUAAAGAGUAACGGAGGAGCACGAAGGUUGGCUAAUCCUGGUCGGACAUCAGGAGGUUAGUGCAAUGGCAUAAGCCAGCUUGACUGCGAGCGUGACGGCGCGAGCAGGUGCGAAAGCAGGUCAUAGUGAUCCGGUGGUUCUGAAUGGAAGGGCCAUCGCUCAACGGAUAAAAGGUACUCCGGGGAUAACAGGCUGAUACCGCCCAAGAGUUCAUAUCGACGGCGGUGUUUGGCACCUCGAUGUCGGCUCAUCACAUCCUGGGGCUGAAGUAGGUCCCAAGGGUAUGGCUGUUCGCCAUUUAAAGUGGUACGCGAGCUGGGUUUAGAACGUCGUGAGACAGUUCGGUCCCUAUCUGCCGUGGGCGCUGGAGAACUGAGGGGGGCUGCUCCUAGUACGAGAGGACCGGAGUGGACGCAUCACUGGUGUUCGGGUUGUCAUGCCAAUGGCACUGCCCGGUAGCUAAAUGCGGAAGAGAUAAGUGCUGAAAGCAUCUAAGCACGAAACUUGCCCCGAGAUGAGUUCUCCCUGAGACUUAGAGUCUCCUGAAGGAACGUUGAAGACGACGACGUUGAUAGGCCGGGUGUGUAAGCGCAGCGAUGCGUUGAGCUAACCGGUACUAAUGAACCGUGAGGCUUAACCUUACAACGCCGAAG
rnacentral:rRNA from 1 species